CAGUCGCCACGGUAAUGCAGAGGAUGCAAGCGUUAUCCGGAAUGAUUGGGCGUAAAGCGUCUGUAGGUGGCUUUUCAAGUCCGCCAUCAAAUCCCGAGGCUCAACCCUGGACAGGCGGUGGAAAUACCAAGCUGGAGUACGGUAGGGGCAGAGGGAAUUUCCGGUGGAGCGGUGAAAUGCGUUGAGAUUGGAAAGGACACCAACGGUGAAAGCACUCUGCUGGGCCGACACUGACACUGAGAGACGAAAGCCAGGGGAGCAAAUGGGAUUAGAUACCCCCGUAGUCCCUGUCUCUUAUACA
rnacentral:rRNA from 1 species